AGCACUACUUGCCCCUGGGGGUGGGACCAGCAAAACCCAAAUCUCUGAACAGCUCAGCUAGCUGGGGCCACAAGGAUGUCUUAACCGGGGAAGGAAAUCAGUGGCCAGACAGAUUUAUUGCAUUUCAGAACAUGAGAUUGCAUUUAAACUCCCAGGAAUAUAAAGCUAUGACAGCCCAGCUGCUAAAUCUUGUGAGAUGAGAUGAGAUGUUUUCCAUGUGUGUCUUCACCCUGGAGGGCUGCAGUGCACCCUGAGUUUGCAGUGAGGACACAACCUACAAACCUUUCUCCAGCACUACCAGGAGUGGAGUCCCUUGGGUACAGCAUCAGCUCAGGAGGAGCAUUGACACGGGAGGCCCUGGCUCUCCCCUCCCUGAUUCUGCUGCAGAACUUUUAAAGGAGUGAAACACCAAGACCUCAUUACUCUGGAUGUUGACUGAAAGCUCUGAACCUUUACAGGAUGAUAAAUGUGGCUUCUUUUUUUUUUUUUUUCAGAGCUGUUAGAAUUUCUUACUCAUGCACUUUUCAACAGAGGCAAAUAGUGCAUCCAGAAAUAAUGAAGAAUUACUGGAAUGCCUCCUUUUAAAUAAUGGAAACAAGCAGGAAGAGUUCAGAACUGCCAGCUGGUGGUGUUUUCCUCCUCUCCUAGAAGCAGAGGAAGGAGUUGGCUUGAAAAAAGGGAGGCAGUUCAUUAAGAGUUCAGAAUAGGGACACAGAUUUUUGAAAAGAUCUUUGCUUAUACUUCUGCUCUUCCAUAUAGCCUGAAUUGGCAUCUUCACUUCUGUCUGCUGUUUUCCCUUGUGCUUUACCUUCUAUGAGUUUUGUGUCAGUAUACUGGAUAAUGUUCCUUUGCCUUAUUUAUUUUUUUUACUGCUCUGAGGCACUUGAAUAUUGCAGUCUUUCAUCAAAAGCAUAAACAAAAAUGUCUUCAGUUUAUUAAAAACAAGUUAUUAAUUGUAUGGAAAAUUUAUGAGAAACCUGGAAAUGUGGAUGUCCAUUCUAUUCCCCCACUCAUCAUGACCUUCAUAAUCAGCUGGAAAUAAAGUUUGAACCAUUUUGAGGAUGAG